GAUGAACGCUGGCGGCGUGCCUAAUACAUGCAAGUCGAGCGAACAGACGAGAGUGCUUGCACUCUCUGACGUUAGCGGCGGACGGGUGAGUAACACGUGGGUAACCUACCUAUAAGACUGGGAUCACUUCGGGAAACCGGAGCUAAUACCGGAUAAUAUUUAGCUUCGCAUGACGCAAUAGUGAAAGACGGUUCUGCUGUCACUUAUAGAUGGACCCGCGGUGUAUUAGCUAGUUGGUGAGGUAACGGCUCACCAAGGCAACGAUACAUAGCCGACCUGAGAGGGUGAUCGGCCACACUGGGACUGAGACACGGCCCAGACUCCUACGGGAGGCAGCAGUAGGGAAUCUUCCGCAAUGGACGAAAGUCUGACGGAGCAAUGCCGCGUGAGUGAAGAAGGUUCUCGGAUCGUAAAACUCUGUUGUAAGGGAAGAACAAUUACGUUAGUAACUGAACGUACCUUGACGGUACCUGACCAGAAAGCCACGGCUAACUACGUG
rnacentral:rRNA from 1 species